GCGGUAGCCGCGGCGAGGGAGACCACUACGAGCCAGCGCCACCGGCUACAAACGUAAUGGCCUCCCUCGCCGCGGCUACCGCUCCCGCCUCCCUUGGCGUGUCGGAGAUGCUCGGCAGUCCCCUCAAGUCCUCCGCGGUCCCAGCCCGUGCUACACAGCCCACCUCCAGGUCCAAUGCAUCGAAGAUCUCCGCUUUCUUUUCGAAGAAGCCCGCUGCUAAAGCCAAGGCCGCUGCCGCCUCUCCGAUCAGCGAUGAGCUCGCCAAGUGGUAUGGCCCUGACAGGAAGAUUUUCUUACCCAACGGGCUGUUGGACCGGUCCGAGGUGCCCGAAUACCUCAACGGAGAGGUGCCCGGAGAUUAUGGCUAUGACCCUUUUGGCCUAAGCAAGAAGCCUGAAGAUUUCGCCAAGUACCAAUCUUACGAGUUGAUUCACGCACGGUGGGCUAUGCUUGGUGCUGCGGGGUUCAUCAUCCCUGAGGCUUUCAACAAAUUUGGUGCCAAUUGCGGUCCCGAGGCAGUGUGGUUCAAGACUGGUGCUCUUCUCCUCGAUGGAAACACAUUGAACUACUUCGGAAAGAACAUUCCGAUCAACCUCGUUCUCGCUGUGGUUGCGGAAGUGGUGCUACUUGGAGGAGCGGAGUACUAUAGACUCACAAAUGGGCUGGAUUUGG
rnacentral:misc_RNA from 1 species